rnacentral:rRNA from 1 species
UUGCCGGCGACCGGCGGACGGGUGCGUAACGCGUAUGUAACCUACCUUUGACAGGGGGAUAACAUCGAGAAAUUGGUACUAAUACCCCAUAACAUCACCGGAGGCAUCUUCGGUGGUUGAAAACUCAGGUGGUCAGAGAUGGACAUGCGUUGUAUUAGCUAGUUGGUGAGGUAACGGCUCACCAAGGCGACGAUACAUAGGGGGACUGAGAGGUCAACCCCCCCACAUUGGUACUGAGACACGGACCAAACUCCUACGGAAGGCAGCAG